UAUUACGUUAUAGUCACAUGGUCAGGAACAUUCCUCCGUUAUCUCCCUCGUGAAUGGGUGUGUGUGCAUGGCCGGCCGUGUUUGUGUGUCAGCUCUUGGGCCCGAUGUAGCUAUUAACCCCUCACUGCCUGCAAGGAUUACACUGAGGACAAAGGAGGAAGAUCUGCAGAACGUCGCCCACAGACCCACCGCUUCUCCCUGGUGCUUUUAUUUUUUCUACGGAUACAAAGCGAAUCUCCGUCUUUAGGAUUUUAAUUGUGGAUUUGUACAGAUUUCUCGUGAGGACUCCUCUGUGUCACCCUCCCAGGACCGUGGAUCUACAGGAAACCCUUCUCAAUGAUGCUGUCCAAUGGUACUAUUCUCAACACCAGCAACUCCGACGCGGACACGGACGCUCUCCGCUCACACAAGCAGGGUGAAGAUGAUGCCAAGGAGGAGAAAAGUAAGGAGGACAGGCCGGAUGUUGUCGGGUCCGUGAAGAAAGUUGGGCGUCCAGGCAGAAAGCGCAAACAGGAAAUGAUGGAGAGCGUCAGUGCAUCCAAAGACAUUGCCUCAGUCCCUAAGUGCCACAUGUCCCCGAAAACCAGCGACCCUGUGCCUAAUGGAGAGGUGGAGGCUCCCCGUGUCCAGCUGAAGCCCGAGACGCCCCCUCCAGAGCGAGGCAGCCCGGAGCCCACCCCUAGAGACAAGACCAUGAACUACGAGGAGGAGGAGGAGGAGGAGGAGGGGGUGGACGCGGAGUCCAUGCUGGAGAAUGGGCGCUGCACCCUGAGUGACGACUCCCAGGACAUGGAGCAGUACUCAACCAGUAAGAGGAGAGCGCAGAGGAGCCGGGAAGACAGCUACGAGAAAAAUAAAGAAGAAAAAGAAGAUGAGGACUCGGACUCCCCCAAAUCAGAGGGUUACCGCCGCCGCCUGCGUGGAGGGCUGGGCUGGGAGUCUGGUCUGCGUCAGAGGCCUAUGCCAAGGCUGCCAUUCCAGGCGGGGGACCCCUAUUACGUCAGCAAGAGGAAGAGAGAUGAGUGGCUGGCCCGAUGGAAGAAAGAGGCUGAAAAGAAGCAGCAGCUGGUCGCUGUGAUAAACGCCAUGGAGGAGACGGUGUCCGGAAAUCCACAGAAAGAAGAGGAGAGCACGCCGCCGGCCUCCCAGCAGCCCACUGACCCUGCCUCCCCCACCGUGGCCACCACUCCUGAGCCUGUGGUGGCCGAUGCCGUAGACAAGAACACCUCUAAGUUAGCAGAUGACGAGGCAGAGUACGAGGAUGGGCGCGGCUUUGGCAUCGGGGAGCUGGUUUGGGGAAAGCUUCGAGGCUUCUCCUGGUGGCCGGGACGCAUCGUGUCAUGGUGGAUGACUGGACGGAGCCGGGCGGCUGAGGGGACACGUUGGGUCAUGUGGUUUGGAGAUGGCAAGUUUUCAGUGGUCUGUGUGGAGAAGCUGAUGUCGCUCAGUUCCUUCGCAAACACCUUCCACCAGGCAACAUACAGCAAGCAGCCAAUGUACAGGAAGGCCAUCUAUGAGGUCCUACAGGUGGCCAGCACCCGAGCCAGGAAGGUUUUCCCAUCAUGCCCUGAGAAUGACGAGAGCGACACCUCCAAAGCUAUAGACCUGCAGAACAAGCAGAUGAUAGAGUGGGCGUUGGGGGGCUUCCAACCAUCAGGACCCAAAGGACUGGAGCCCCCAGAAGAGGAACGCAACCCAUACAAAGAGGUCUACACAGAGAUUUGGGUAGAACCAGAAGCUGCCGCCUAUGCCCCUCCCCCUCCCGCUAAGAAACCACGAAAAAGCACAGAGAAGCCCAAGGUCAAAGAAAUUAUCGAUGAGCGAACUCGAGAGAGGCUGGUCUAUGAGGUGCGUCAGAAGAGUCGCUCCAUCGAGGAUAUCUGCAUCUCUUGUGGCAGUUUGAAUGUUACUCUGGAGCAUCCCUUAUUUAUUGGGGGAAUGUGCCAAAACUGCAAGAACUGCUUUUUAGAGUGCGCGUACCAGUAUGAUGAUGACGGAUACCAGUCGUACUGCACCAUCUGCUGCGGAGGACGGGAGGUGCUCAUGUGCGGCAACAAUAAUUGCUGCAGGUGUUUUUGUGUAGAAUGUGUGGACUUGUUGGUGGGACCAGGUGCAGCUCAGGCAGCUAUUAAAGAAGACCCCUGGAACUGCUACAUGUGUGGACACAAGGGCAUUUACGGGUUGCUUCGAAGGCGAGAUGACUGGCCCACUCGUUUACAGCUCUUCUUCGCUAAUAAUCAUGACCAAGAAUUUGAGCCACCAAAGCUUUAUCCGCCUAUUCCAGCCGACAAGCGGAAGCCUAUCCGAGUACUGUCUUUAUUUGACGGCAUUGCUACAGGUCUAUUGGUGCUAAAGGAUCUCGGGAUCCAGAUAGACCGAUACAUUGCCUCAGAGGUGUGCGAAGACUCCAUCACUGUGGGAAUGGUGCGACAUACGGGCAAGAUCAUGUAUGUGGGAGACGUGAGGAACAUAACCCGCAAACAUAUUGCUGAAUGGGGCCCAUUUGACCUGGUGAUCGGAGGGAGUCCGUGUAACGAUCUUUCCAUUGUGAACCCGGCACGGAAAGGUCUGUUCGAGGGCACAGGACGCCUCUUUUUCGAGUUUUACCGUCUGCUUCAUGAAGCUCGGCCGAAGGCAGGAGACGAGCGGCCGUUCUUCUGGCUGUUUGAGAACGUGGUGGCCAUGGGUGUCAGUGAUAAAAGGGACAUAUCACGUUUCCUAGAGUCUAACCCGGUGAUGAUCGAUGCCAGGGAGGUGUCUGCAGCACACAGGGCCCGAUACUUCUGGGGUAACCUCCCGGGUAUGAACAGGCCUCUGGUCUCUACAGUCAAUGACCGGCUGGACUUACAAGAAUGUCUGGAGCACGGCAGGAUAGCAAAGUUUGGCAAAGUCCGAACCAUCACCACUAGGUCCAACUCCAUCAAGCAGGGGAAGGACCAGCAUUUCCCGGUCUUCAUGAAUGAGAAGGAGGACAUCCUGUGGUGCACUGAGAUGGAACGGGUUUUCGGCUUCCCAGUCCACUACACGGAUGUCUCGAACAUGAGCCGCUUGGCCCGACAAAGGCUUCUGGGAAGAUCAUGGAGCGUCCCGGUCAUUCGUCACCUCUUUGCACCCCUUAAGGAAUUUUUUGCCUGUGUUUAAGUCAUUGAGGCAAAAAGGGACCUGAGGCUGAUGCCCAACCUUCCAGCUCCCCCAAAAAAGAGCCUCUCCGCUCCUCUCUCAGCUUCCCAACGGAAUAGAGAGAUUUUAGACAAUAGAAGAAAGAAAAGCUGGUGAAGAGAAGCGCUGAGGAGCGAGCGGGGGGCGUCUGACAUCGAGCAGACACUUCUACGUAACUUCUUGUUUCAUGUUACACUCUCCUUUAUGUCUCAUUUUAUUUUUUUUAAGUUUUUACCGUGAUGUUUUUGUAGGGGGAGGGGGGGGAUCCUUUUAUCCUUCUCGAGUUUUUAGUACAAUAACUGUCUGCAGAUCUUUUAAGACCUCGUCCCAGAUUGAGCAGCAGCUUUCAGGUUUUUAUAUUUUAGUCCAUUCUAGAGAUUGUAGAUUUCCUCCCCCCUCCAUCCCGGUGCUAAAAGUCGGGUUUUCUGGUUUUAGUUUUAUGGGUCUUUUAAGUGUUCAGCGGCCGCCCACCUCUGGGUCCGGUGGGGGUGGGGUAAGCUGGGCUUUGGUUUCUAGGCUGCGAAUAAACGGUUAAGUCAAUAUGAACACACAAUGCAAAGGGUCCAUGAUCCGCCAGUCAUGGAUGGGGAAAUCAUGGACAUAGCAGCACAAGGGAGGGGCUGCGUGUGAGUACACACGUAUGUUCCACGCCUCUCUUAGCACACACUGAAGCCCACGUCUGCUGACCGGUGCUGUUCCGUUAACGCCUUCUGGGUUGACUGUGCCCAGCGUACCUAACAUGUCCAAAUCUCACUCACAAUGACUGGGAAUAUCGAGGAUAUGUAGAUUUAUCAGCAUUUCCAAUGUUACGUGUUACUAGGAGAAUGUUGCUGAAAAAAAAAACUAUUUUAGAAUUUUUUUAUUUACAGUAUUUCAGGUGCCUCAAGCAAGAGGCCGGGAAAAAAAACAGCAGCUCAGACACACAGUUCUGACCUCUAUCACUGUUUACAGCUGUCAUACUGUAUGUCUAAUAACCGGGGCUCUACAAGUGUGUGCACAACCUCUGUAAGCUGUAUGAAAGGCAGAGACAGCCGCAGGGCUUCACUAUCGUCUCCUCAGCCAUAUAGGCAGAGCUUGUCACCUGCAGAUUAAAGGCCCCAAAAUAUACUAUAUACUAUAUAUAGAUGUAAGAUUUAUAUCCUGUAUACCUAAUGCUACUAUAUAUAUUAUAGAGUGGUAUUACUGUAUAUCAUUAGUUGUCUCUGUGAUUGGCUGUAGCGGUCCAUAUUGGAUCUGUUGACCAGUAUUUCUGUAGGGCAGAAAUUGUUGCUAGUGCUGGUAUCUUGUAUCAUUGUCUGUCAGUGAGUGAUUAAGCGAGGUAGUAAUUAGAGGCAAUUAAGCAGUGGCAAUAUCUGUCCAUAUUUAUAAAGGAGCGGUAACUGCCAGUGAUUAAAACGGGGACUAUCUGUCAGAGACUGUCAGUACUUCAGCAGGGGAGGAAACUGUCAGUACUUCAGCAGGGGAGGUAACUUGCAGUAAAUAAGCAGGGGAGGUAACUGUCAGUACUUCAGCAGGGGAGGUAACUGUCAGUACUUCAGCAGCGGAGGUAACUGUCAGUAAAUAAGCAGGGGAGGUAACUGUCAGUAAAUAAGCAGGGGAGUAAACUGUCAGUACUUCAGCAGGGGAGGUAACUGUCAGUACUUCAGCAGGGGAGGUAACUGUCAGUACUUCAGCAGGGGAGGUAACUGUCAGUACUUCAGCAGCGGAGGUAACUGUCAGUAAAUAAGCAGGGGAGGUAACUGUCAGUAAAUAAGCAGAGGAGGUAACUGUCAGUACUUCAGCAGGGGAGGUAACUGUCAGUAAAUAAGCAGAGGAGGUAACUGUCAGUACUUCAGCAGGGGAGGUAACUUGCAGUACUUCAGCAGGGGAGGUAACUGUCAGUACUUCAGCAGGGGAGGUAACUGUCAGUACUUCAGCAGCGGAGGUAACUGUCAGUAAAUAAGCAGAGGAGGUAACUGUCAGUACUUAAGCAUGGGAGGUAACUGCCAUUACAUA